GGUCUGUUCCUGGAGGUACUGGGAAACUGGGCCUUCUCUUAUUCUGCACAAGCGGAGCCAGUUUCUCCCGGCAGGAGACAGACUAUCAGAGAGGGGUCUGAGAAGCAAGACGUACUUCUUGGAGUUUCUGAGAGCAAAAAGCUGUGUCAGCCUGUGUCAGUUGAUGGGGGACCUCUGUGAAUUCCCAUCUCGUUCUGACUUUCCCUGAGAUCAAAGACAAGGAAUCCGGGAAGGAAGCAAUCAUUCCAAAGCCAAGAAAAUACAUCUCCAAAUGAGCAGAAGGGGCUAUCUGCUUAUAGAAGACAGUAUCCAGACUCCAAGCUUAGAGGACCUGCUUCUGCUGGA